UUGAUUCAGGUACUGCGAAUC
rnacentral:siRNA from 1 species